rnacentral:hammerhead_ribozyme from 1 species
AUCCAACUGACGAGUCCUAAAUAGGACGAAACGCGCGUCGUGUAU